rnacentral:rRNA from 1 species
GACGUAGGGCGCGAGCGUUGUCCGGAUUUAUUGGGCGUAAAGAGCUCGUAGGCGGCUUGUCGCGUCGACUGUGAAAACCCGCGGCUCAACCGUGUGGCUUGCAGUUGAUACGGGCAGGCUAGAGUUCGGUAGGGGAGAAUGGAAUUCCCGGUGUAGCGGUGAAAUGCGCAGAUAUCGGGAGGAACACCGGUGGCGAAGGCGGUUCUCUGGGCCUUACCUGACGCUGAGGAGCGAAAGCGUGGGGAGCGAACAGG